GCCAGCCGCCAUAUCACCCUGUAGCCCAAGACUGGUUGCCCACUGAAGCUAAGCAGGGCUGAGCCUGGUCAGUACCUGGAUGGGAGACCUCCUGGGAAACACUAGGUUGCUGCUGGAA
rnacentral:rRNA from 1 species